UUUGCAGCCAUCAUCACUCAUCUGUGAUGUAGAGAGCAAGACACAAACACACUAUCUUAACAGGUUUGUAAAUGCUACUUUAGCAAAAGCUCUUCCUGUGUUGAGGAACCUCUGACCUGCCAUAUAGGGUAUAAGAAAUGAGGAGUGAGAUAAAGAGGCCUGGAUGAACAUGGGGCAGAUAUAGGAAGAGAGGCAAUAUGAGGUGACACCACCUCUACCGCUCACGUGAUCGGCAAAGCCCAGGUUCUGCUGCCAAGCCGGAAGCUGGGUGUAAUACCCAACAAAGAGUGACCCUUGCCUUGGUGAAGCCAACAGCAGAUUGUCAUCACAGGCAGAUCUACCUAUCAGGGACCGGGGAUCCUGAACCCCCAUCUCUCUACCCAGAGAUCAGCAUCUGGAACAGACAGAUGCCCCGUUCCUAUUGUGGCCCUGCCAUGGGUCCCGGGCUCCUCCACUGUGUGGCCUUCUGUCUCCUUGGAGCAGGUCACAUGGGUGCCAUGGUCAUCCAGAGCCCAAGAUACCAGGUUACUAAGGUGGGAAAACCAGUGACUCUGAACUGUUCUCAGAACCUGAAUCAUGAUACCAUGUACUGGUACCAACAGAAGCUGAGACAAGCACCAAAGCUGCUGCUCUACUACUAUGAUACAGAGCUUACCAAAGAAACAGACACCUCUGAUAACUUCCAACCCAGCCGGCUCAGCAAUUCUCUCUGUUCUCUUAGCAUCCGCUCACCAGGCUUGGGGGACUCAGCAGUGUACCUCUGUGCCAGCAGUAAAGACACGGAGCUACAGUGUUAUGUCUCCCCUGUGCACAAACCUCUGCAUUUCCCAGAUCCAAGAUCCUUCUCUAGACCAUCCCCCAGCUCUGAUGUUACAACAGUAGUAGAAACCCAACAAUAG